UGCAGUCGAGCGGAUGACGGGAGCUUGCUCCUUGAUUCAGCGGCGGACGGGUGAGUAAUGCCUAGGAAUCUGCCUGGUAGUGGGGGGCAACGUUUCGAAAGGAACGCUAAUACCGCAUACGUCCUACGGGAGAAAGCAGGGGACCUUCGGGCCUUGCGCUAUCAGAUGAGCCUAGGUCGGACUAGCUAGUUGGUGGGGUAAUGGCUCACCAAGGCGACGAUCCGUAACUGGUCUGAGAGGAUGAUCAGUCACACUGGAACUGAGACACGGUCCAGACUCCUACGGGAGGCAGCAGUGGGGAAUAUUGGACAAUGGGCGAAAGCCUGAUCCAGCCAUGCCGCGUGUGUGAAGAAGGUCUUCGGAUUGUAAAGCACUUUAAGUUGGGAGGAAGGGCAGUAAGUUAAUACCUUGCUGUUUUGACGUUACCGACAGAAUAAGCACCGGCUAACUCUGUGCCAGCAGCCGCGGUAAUACAGAGGGUGCAAGCGUUAAUCGGAAUUACUGGGCGUAAAGCGCGCGUAGGUGGUUUGUUAAGUUGGAUGUGAAAGCCCCGGGCUCAACCUGGGAACUGCAUCCAAAACUGGCAAGCUAGAGUACGGUAGAGGGUGGUGGAAUUUCCUGUGUAGCGGUGAAAUGCGUAGAUAUAGGAAGGAACACCAGUGGCGAANGCGACCACCUGGACUGAUACUGACACUAAGGUGCGAAAGCGUGGGGAGCAAACAGGAUUAGAUACCCUGGUAGUCCACGCCGUAAACNAUGUCAACUAGCCGUUGGAAUCCUUGAGAUUUUAGUGGCGCAGCUAACGCAUUAAGUUGACCGCCUGGGGAGUANNGNCGCANGGUUAAAACUCAAAUGAANUGACGGGGGCCCGCACAAGCGNUGGAGCNUGUGGUUUAANUC
rnacentral:rRNA from 1 species